rnacentral:rRNA from 1 species
GGGAAUCCGCCGCAAGGCGGGGAACCGGCGUAAGGGGCAGUAAUGCGUGGGUACCUACCGAGGGGUUCGGGAUAGCCAUCAGAGAUGGUGGGUAAUACCGGAUGACGUCGUGAGACCAAAGAUUUAUCGCCCUUCGAGGGGCCCACGUGAUAUUAGCUAGUUGGUGAGGUAACGGCUCACCAAGGCGAAGAUGUCUAGCGGGUGUGAGAGCACGACCCGCGCCACUCGCACUGAGACACUGGCGAGACACCUACGGGUGGCUGCAGUCGAGGAUCUUCGGCAAUGAGCGCAAGCUUGACCGAGCGACGCCGCGUGAGCGAUGAAGGCCUUCGGGUUGUAAAGCUCUUUAGUGGGGGAGAAAAGCCCGCAAGGGUGUGAUCUAUCCCAAAAAUAAGCACGGGCUAAGUUCGUGCCAGCAGCCGCGGUAAGACGAACCGUGCGAACGUUG